AGUGAACAGGGAAGAGCUCAAAUUUGAAAUCUGGCGUCCUCAGGGCGUCCGAGUUGUAAUCUAUAGAGACGUUUUCCGUGCCGGACCGUAUCCAAGUUCCUUGGAAUAGGAUAUCAAAGAGGGUGAGAAUCCCGUGCUUGAUACGACGACCGGUGCCCUGUGAUACGUCUUCUACGAGUCGAGUUGUUUGGGAAUGCAGCUCAAAACGGGUGGUGAACUCCAUCUAAAGCUAAAUAUUGGCGAGAGACCGAUAGCGAACAAGUACCGUGAGGGAAAGAUGAAAAGCACUUUGGAAAGAGAGUUAAACAGUACGUGAAAUUGUUGAAAGGGAAACGAUUGAAGUCAGUCGUGUCCGGGAGGCUCAGCCGGUUCUGCCGGUGUAUUCCUCUCGGACGGGUCAACAUCAGUUUUGACCGGUGGAUAAGGGCGGCGGGAAGGUGACUCCCCUCGGGGUGUUUUAUAGCCCGCUGUCGCAUACAUCGGUCGAGACUGAGGAAUGCAGCUCGCCCUCACGGGCCGGGGGUUCGCCCCACGUCCGAGCUUAGGAUGUUGACGUAAUGGCUUUAAACGACCCGU
rnacentral:rRNA from 1 species